rnacentral:rRNA from 1 species
AUUGAACGCUGGCGGCAGGCCUAACACAUGCAAGUCGGACGAGUGGCGGACGGGUGAGUAAUGCCUGGGAACGUACCUGAUGGAGGGGGAUAACUACUGGAAACGGUAGCUAAUACCGCAUACCAUCAGAUCGGCCCAGAUGGGAUUAGCUGGUUGGUGGGGUAACGGCCCACCAAGGCGACGAUCCCUAGCUGGUCUGAGAGGAUGACCAGCCACCCUGGAACUGAGACACGGGCCAGACUCCUACGGGAGGCAGCAGUGGGGAAUUUUGGACAAUGGGCGCAAGCCUGAUCCAGCCAUGCCGCGUGUCUGAAGAAGGCCUUCGGGUUGUAAAGUACUUUUAGCGGGGAAGCGGUACCUGAAGAAUAAGCACCGGCUAACUACGUGCCAGCAGCCGCGGUAAUUC